rnacentral:rRNA from 1 species
UUCCUGGCGACCAUAGCGGUUUGGAACCACCUGACUCCAUCUCGAACUCAGUAGUGAAACAGACCAGCGCCGAUGAUAGUGUGGGGUGUCCCCAUGUGAAAGUAGGUCAUCGCCAGGGC